rnacentral:rRNA from 1 species
AUUGAACGCUGGCGGCAGGCCUAACACAUGCAAGUCGAGCGGUAGAGAGAAGCUUGCUUCUCUUGAGAGCGGCGGACGGGUGAGUAAUGCCUAGGAAUCUGCCUGGUAGUGGGGGAUAACGUUCGGAAACGGACGCUAAUACCGCAUACGUCCUACGGGAGAAAGCAGGGGACCUUCGGGCCUUGCGCUAUCAGAUGAGCCUAGGUCGGAUUAGCUAGUUGGUGGGGUAAUGGCCCACCAAGGCGACGAUCCGUAACUGGUCUGAGAGGAUGAUCAGUCACACUGGAACUGAGACACGGUCCAGACUCCUACGGGAGGCAGCAGUGGGGAAUAUUGGACAAUGGGCGAAAGCCUGAUCCAGCCAUGCCGCGUGUGUGAAGAAGGUCUUCGGAUUGUAAAGCACUUUAAGUUGGGAGGAAGGGCAGUAAAUUAAUACGUUGCUGUUUUGACGUUACCGACAGAAUAAGCACCGGCUAACUCUGUG